rnacentral:misc_RNA from 1 species
CCAAUAGCGUAUAUUAAAGUUGUUGCAGUUAAAAAGCUCGUAGUUGAAUUUCGGGAUCAAUACGUCGGUCGUGCUUUCGGGUACGUACUGGCGUCAUUGGUUUCUCCUUUCUGACGAACCAUGAUGUCAUUAAUUUGGUGUUAUGGGGAGUUAGGACUGUUACUUUGAAAAAAUUAGAGUGUUUAAAGCAGGCAUUAGCUUGAAUACAUUAGCAUGGAAUAAUGAAAUAGGACGUUCGAUCCUAUUUUGUUGGUUUCUAGGAUCAACGUAAUGAUUAAUAGGGAUAGUUGGGGGCAUUAGUAUUCAAUUGUCAGAGGUGAAAUUCUUGGAUUUAUUGAAGACUAACUACUGCGAAAGCAUUUGCCAAGGAUGUUUUCAUUAAUCAAGAACGAAAGUUAGGGGAUCGAAGACGAUCAGAUACCGUCGUAGUCUUAACCAUAAACUAUGCCGACUAGGGAUCGGAUGAUGUUAAUUUUUUAAUGACUCAUUCGGCGCCUUACA